rnacentral:ncRNA from 1 species
GUUACUAUUUGCCUUUUCCUUCAUCAGACACAGCUACUCUCAUCAGAUUAUGGCCUCAAAUUGGAACAAAUCUAAAUAUACAGCCCACCUGCCCCACAAAGCAGGGUAGUAAUUUGCUAAAUCCUUCAAUUAUGUAAUGCUCAAAUACAAUUCACCCUGCCUGCUGUAAUUAUGAUAUAAUAAUGAAAUAACCCUGCAAUAUAAUGAAAUGAUAUAGUUUAUUAGGUUAGAUUAGAGUUGCUAGAGGUGAAAUUCUUGGAUUGACUCAAGACCAACUAUUGCGAAAGCAUUUGCCAAGGAUGUUUUCAUUAAUCAAGAACGAAGGUUAGGGGAU